rnacentral:lncRNA from 1 species
UGGCUUGGGUUGGAAGGGGUCACAAGGUGAUCCUUGAUCCUUGAUCAAGCUCCAACCCCUUACCUUCACCAGACUUUUAGAGGAUCCAGGUGCCAUGGCUUAGUCACACAUCAACCAGAAGGAAUACUUUCAGGCUGCAAACUGCUCUCCUGUUUGCACCGCCAGCACAACAGCGUUUUAUAGAGAGCCUGAGGAUCCUCAGCGGGCAUCAAGAUCAAAUAUUGAGAAUAGGACUUUGCUUGUGAAGUCUUCAGAGCAGUAACAGCUCCUCAGGCCAGCAGAGUUGAGGAUUUCUGCCCUGCACACAUUAGAGCUCAAAGAAGAAGAUGGAGAUGACAUUAGAAGGGAAGCGGAUGUGUAAGAACAACUUCUAGGACCCUGUUGCCCCAAGACAAAUUCAGUACGCUCACUCAAAGAAUUUUAGGAGAAUAGAUAGGUAAAGAAUGUAUUUUAUUUUGAGUCUACUUAUGUAUUUUUAAUUGGUCCCUGCAAAUGUCUUG